CCGAAUCCGAGUUACUAACACUGUUAAAUAUAGAAUAAAAUCAGCACAAGCCAAGGUACUUACCAGAACUAGGCUGAGACGUGCUUGGGGCUGAUCGCCCUGCAGAGUAUUUUCGGUGAUCUGGAAAACAUCAAGGAUAAGAGACAGAUUCGUCUCUCCUACUUGAGCUUCCGUCACCAGUGACAACAGACUCUUCAAGAAGCUUGUCCCGCACCUCCAUCUCCCAACUGUUGAAACGCACUCUCUUUGUGGAGUGCAUCAAUGACAUCUUCUUUUUGAC